CAAGAGAGAGAGGGGGUUUCGGCCCCCCUUCAAGAGAAAAAAAAAAUUCCAAGUCUUUAGACUUUGAUCCAAAAAUCUCUUCCUUCUUGGAUUCUUGAUGAGUUUAAGGCCCUCUACAACGUGGUAUAAUUAGUUUGGCAAGAAAACUCCGUUUGCGGAAAGGGGAAAAUUGAAGAAAAAGGUUUUAGGCGAAACGGAGUUUGAUUUUGGACAAGCGUAAGGAGCGCGAAAGGUACAGAGGUUCGUGAUCUGCCAGUGUAGAACCCACAUUCUGCUAUCACAGAGUGCUCCUUUGAUCCGAAGCCCACGUUUUGGUACAUAUGUUUUUUUGCUACGUAUAUGUUUCUGUACAUUUGACUAUUUGGGUACGGCGGGGCCCUGUCCCGUCAUAUGUCUUCGUUUUGAUUUGUAGAGGCCUGUAGUCAUAUAUGUGGGUCAUGGGUCAUUGUGUGUGUGCGUUUGUUUGUGAUCUGCGUCUUCGUGCGGUCCCGUUUACUAUUAUGGCCAAAACGGCCCAUUUGUCUGUAUACGUUUAUGUAUCUGGCGAUGUAUAUUCCACCAACCUAUCAGAUUUGGAUACGACCAGAAUGGCCUGUAUAUUUGUAUAUGUGCUUAUAAUCGGCGAUAUGUAUUCCGCCGCUCCCUUUG